GAAACGGUCAAGUCGUCAUUCUGGUGCCAGUUUUUUUUUUUCUUUUAGUCCUUUAAACAAUUAUAUCUCGCCUUCUUUUUUUCCUGGACAUUUGGUCUCCUUCUUCACCAGAACGGUGCGAUGACAGACGGACGCCUGCAGAGUUUGUUUUCCUAACGUCGGAGUAGCUGAGGAGGAGUCUGCGCAGAAAGGAACCGUUAAUCAACACUUGACCGCUCUCAUUACGCUGUCGUCGUAACCAUGGCAACUAAUCAUUCACGUGCUAACUUUCACCUCACCAAGAAAAGUCUUUAGCCUCAUGACUCUGUGUGUCUUACCUGACAAAAUACACUUUAUCUUCUGCCUGCCUUGGUUCCAAAGGGGGUGACUAUCACGAGGAAUGCACAGAGGGUGGGAUUUCAUUAAUCUACACAGCAAUAAAACCACAAAACCAGCAGCCUGCUUGAUAUUUACAUGCAUGGAGACAGAGGCUCCUCUGCUUGUUUAUCCUCCUGCUUAGGGACAUCCAAGCGGUCUAUGAAGUUCUGCAGCUCCUUCCUGAAGGCUUUCAUCUGAGCGUUGAUACGAUACAACAGCUCGUGCUCUCUGAUCCUGUGGAGCCAAAGCACCUAAUUCACAUGUGUCAAGUCAGGCCCGGGGACCGGAUCCGGCCCUUCUGCCUGGCAUAGAGCUCCCCGUUAGUGACGUAUACUCGAGCCUCGGCGAUGAUAGUGCUGGUGUCAGCGAUGAGCCUGUCAAUGGUCCGGCCCAGCCUCUCCGCCUCAAUGCGGAUGUCUAUCAAGUUUUGCCGGUCCUUCAGGCUUCUGGAUAAAAAACGGCUGUCUACGGUUCCUGCGGAGAAGUUCGGCCUCAUCUUCCACCAGCUGCAGCUGCUGCCUCAGCUCAGACAGAGCCUCGCUUUGCUCUCUACUCUGAUGACCUCCAGCGCUGGAACCAUCCACUCCUGCUGCUGCCAGACUAUAGGAAACGAGAGGUUCAGCCUUCAGUCCCCUGUUCUCUACCUCCAACUCCACAA